rnacentral:rRNA from 1 species
AACGAACGCUGGCGGCAGGCCUAACACAUGCAAGUCGAGCGAGACCUUCGGGCUAGCGGCGGACGGGUUAGUAACGCGUGGGAACGUGCCCUUCUCUGCGGAAUAGCCACUGGAAACGGUGAGUAAUACCGCAUACGCCCUUCGGGGGAAAGAUUUAUCGGAGAGGGAUCAGCCCGCGUAAGAUUAGAUAGUUGGUGGGGUAAUGGCCUACCAAGUCUACGAUCUAUAGCUGGUUUUAGAGGAUGAUCAGCAACACUGGGACUGAGACACGGCCCAGACUCCUACGGGAGGCAGCAGUGGGGAAUCUUAGACAAUGGGCGCAAGCCUGAUCUAGCCAUGCCGCGUGUGUGAUGAAGGUCUUAGGAUCGUAAAGCACUUUCGCCAGGGAUGAUAAUGACAGUACCUGGUAAAGAAACCCCGGCUAACUCCGUG